GUCAAAGUAUAUUCUAUUCGAGAAAAAUCAUUAUUUGUUUAAGAAUUCAGAUAAUACUCUCUCAUCAAACAUUUUUUAUCAUGUUGGCUAAACUGCACUCUGUCAUUCAUUUCAACUCAACUUCAAGUUUUGGAGGUUACAUUCCAGUCCAGAUUACAUUUUCUUUUUUCGCCACGAAUAGUAAAUAGAAUAAUUAAUACCUGUUUGUCAACGAUGAUAAGGCAUUUAUGAUAAGUAGAAUAACAAUUAACUUGUUUAGUUUAGUUCCGUAUCAGUCAUGGACGAGAAAGGUAAUGUAAAAAGUAUCAAACUACCUGAAACUGUAGAAGCUUUCAGCAAUUUGAAGAAUGCAAAGAGAUUUGCAAUUGAUAUUGGUGGACUCUGACUAAAAUCGCAUACUACUCUACAGUAUCAUAUCGCCGCAUCAACUAUGAGGCGGAUCAGGAUAAUAGCGACAAUCAGAGGAACAAACAAAAUAUGAAAUCCGGAAGGAGCUCGGCUCCAUUUCAUAAAAUUUGAAACAAAGUACAUAGAAAACUGCUUGGAUUUCAUUUGUGAAAAUCUUGUGGCAACCAGAGAGCAGAUGGCUGGGAAAACUAUCAAAGCUACUGGGGUGGUGCCUACAGAUAUGCUGAUCUACUGCAGGAAAAAUUGGGAUUGUCUGUUGACAAGGAAGAAGAGAUGGACUGUUUGAUAAAGGCUGCAAUUUUCUGUUGAAAAACAUAAGCGAUGAAGCGUUUGUAUUCAACAGACAUGGAAAUCCCGAAUAUGACUUCCAAAUGGCAGAUCC